AGCAACAUGGUGGAAUACAGAUAGUUAAGUAUGUACAGGUGGUAGAGAGAGAGAGCAACAUGGUGGAAUACAGAUAGUUAAGUAUGUACAGGUGGUAGAGUGAGAGAGAGCAACAUGGUGGAAUACAGAUAGUUAAGUAUGUACAGGUGGUAGAGUGAGAGAGAGCAACAUGGUGGAAUACAGAUAGUUAAGUAUGUACAGGUGGUAGAGUGAGAGCAACAUGGUGGAAUACAGAUAGUUAAGUAUGUACAGGUGGUAGAGAGAGAGAGAGCAACAUGGUGGAAUACAGAUAGCUAAGUAUGUACAGGUGGUAG